CGGCUGUAGCUAUACUAAUUAUGUCUAAGAAGCUAACUGGCCGGUGGUUGUAUGAGAUUUCUUUGAGAUCUCUGUCGACAUAUCUGCUUACCGAGCUUCUCACAUUU